rnacentral:rRNA from 1 species
GGCGUGCUUACACAUGCAAGUCGAACGAUGAACCACUUCGGUGGGGAUUAGUGGCGAACGGGUGAGUAACACGUGGGCAAUCUGCCCUUCACUCUGGGACAAGCCCUGGAAACGGGGUCUAAUACCGGAUACGACACUCUCGGGCAUCCGAUGAGUGUGGAAAGCUCCGGCGGUGAAGGAUGAGCCCGCGGCCUAUCAGCUUGUUGGUGAGGUAACGGCUCACCAAGGCGACGACGGGUAGCCGGCCUGAGAGGGCGACCGGCCACACUGGGACUGAGACACGGCCCAGACUCCUACGGGAGGCAGCAGUGGGGAAUAUUGCACAAUGGGCGAAAGCCUGAUGCAGCGACGCCGCGUGAGGGAUGACGGCCUUCGGGUUGUAAACCUCUUUCGCAGGGAAGAAGCGAAAGUGACGGUACCUGCAGAAGAAGCGCCGGCUAACUACGUGGCCAGCAGCCGCGGUAAUACGUAGGGCGCGAGCGUUGUCGGGAAUUAUUGGGCGUAAAGAGCUCGUAGGCGGUCUGUCGCGUCGGAUGUGAAAGCCCGGGGCUUAACCCCGGGUCUGCAUUCGAUACGGGCAGACUAGAGUGUGGUAGGGGAGAUCGGAAUUCCUGGUGUAGCGGUGAAAUGCGCAGAUAUCAGGAGGAACACCGGUGGCGAAGGCGGAUCUCUGGGCCAUUACUGACGCUGAGGAGCGAAAGCGUGGGGAGCGAACAGGAUUAGAUACCCUGGUAGUCCACGCCGUAAACGGUGGGAAACUAGGUGUUGGCGACAUUCCACGUCGUCGGUGCCGCAGCUAACGCAUUAAGUUCCCCGCCUGGGGAGUACGGCCGCAAGGCUAAAACUCAAAGGGAUUGACGGGGGGCCGCACAAGCAGCGGAGCAUGUGGCUUAAUUCGACGCAACGCGAAGAACCUUACCAAGGCUUGACAUACACCGGAAACGGCCAGAGAUGGUCGCCCCCUUGUGGUCGGUGUACAGGUGGUGCAUGGCUGUCGUCAGCUCGUGUCGUGAGAUGUUGGGUUAAGUCCCGCAACGAGCGCAACCCUUGUUCUGUGUUGCCAGCAUGCCCUUCGGGGUGAUGGGGACUCACAGGAGACUGCCGGGGUCAACUCGGAGGAAGGUGGGGACGACGUCAAGUCAUCAUGCCCCUUAUGUCUUGGGCUGCACACGUGCUACAAUGGCAGGUACAAUGAGCUGCGAAGCCGUGAGGCGGAGCGAAUCUCAAAAAGCCUGUCUCAGUUCGGAUUGGGGUCUGCAACUCGACCCCAUGAAGUCGGAGUUGCUAGUAAUCGCAGAUCAGCAUUGCUGCGGUGAAUACGUUCCCGGGCCUUGUACACACCGCCCGUCACGUCACGAAAGUCGGUAACACCCGAAGCCGGUGGCCCAACCCGUAAGGGAGGGAGCUGUCGAAGGUGGGACUGGCGAUUGGGACGAAGUCGUAACAAGGA